AANUAUUAAGCGCUUGAUGCUACCGAGUUUUUCACCAUUAAAUCUACACCUUUAAUCAUUUUCAUCCAUUAGAUCAUGUUAUUCAACAAACCAUUCGCUCAACCCUAGAAGACUAUUAUCACCUUGAUUGCAUAUCCUUUAAUACAAGGGUCAAAAAUCUAAUAGUAUCAAUAACUUUGUGCUAUUAAUAGUAUUCUACUCUAAUUCAAUAUAUAAUUUAUCAGGUUAAAUGCAUACAGAUACCUGUAAACAUAGUGAUUUGCAAAUAUAUCUUUACAAAGUUCAAUUUUCAUAUAUUAUUCCUGUAAAAAUUCUAAUGUUUUCAAAUAUAUUUUUCUAGUUUGUUACUGUUAGAGAACUAUUUAUAUUUUCAAUUUUGUCAUCACAAAUAUGUCGCUCCAAAAGACACAACAAUAUAAUAUAAGAUGGAUAAAAAUAUCAAGUUAUGUAAUAAACUAACAAGGUUAAGUAUUUAAUAUAUAGUUAAGUAAAUUUUUCUAACGAAUUCUAAUAACAUGAAUUUAUUUAAAAAUAUUAAAAUUUUUACAGAAAUAAUAUAUAAAAAUUUAAUUUUAUCGACAUAUAUUUAUAAAUUAAUAUAUUUGUAGGAACCUAUACACAACUAACCCACAGAUCACCA
rnacentral:lncRNA from 1 species